UUCAUUUUCGUCAGGUCUGACAUCGACGUUCCUUCACAUACAUCCUAAAGGAGCUAGUGUUGACUAUAUCUGGUCAUUUAUUCAACAAUUUGAUAAGGAAAUCCGUCCAUCUGACAUAGAAACAAUGUUAAACCAGUAUCCAACGGUCUUCAAGCAAAUCACAACUGGGGUUGGUGCUUGUCUCGAACGCAAGUGGAUCUUCACGGGCUUCGAAUGCUCCAUGUGAAGCUUUUUUUCUUUUUCUUUCUUUAAUGACUAUAAAUCUUCCUUCAAAGAAUUUAUUUGAAUUUUUUUUUUUUUUUUUUUUUUAUUAUGAAUUUUGUUAUAUCUGCCAUUUUUCCUCUCAGUUUUAAGCAUUUUUGUGUAAUUUAGUAUUGUUUUGUAAUGUUAAACAAUUGAGAUUUUUAUCAGCCAAAAUAAUACAUCCAUUAUAUAAUAGGACCAAUUAUUUUUGCUACAUCUUAUGAUUUCUUUCACUUUGUGUCUGUUAACCCAUUUGCUGGAACAUUCUAUUUUUACCAUAUGUUUUUUUUUUUUCUGUUUCUAAAUUUAUUUUCCAAGAGUGUGUAUGUGGCAAAGGAUAAAGGACAAGGAGGUGUUUGGUGGCAGUGAAUAAUCAUUUUGUCCAAUGUUCUUCUAUUUUGAUUUUUGUGAGAAAAAAAUAUUGAUGGGGGGGAUAAGUGACGCUAGUUUUCUUCUGAUGUUGUUUUUUAUUAUUUUUAUUCAGAGUUGUGAUUUUAAAGGUUGCUUUCAUGUGGGGGAUAGGGGGGAGGGAAAUGUGAAAGGAAUAACCACUAAAAUGUGCCAAGCAUACUUGCCCCUGGCAGCAAGUGGGUUAUGAGAGAGUAAUUUCCUAGUCUAAUGUUAUAUUUGAUAUAUGAUAAAGAGGCCUGCUUAAUUUAUCACACAUUUGAUAAUUAACAAGGGUCAGGUAUAUAAUACAGUAAUGCCUUUUUGUUAUGCCAUAAACCCUAAUUUUGCUUCUGUUGAUAUUUGAUACAGAAAAUUGACGAGAUGCUUUUAGCUGGAGAUUUGAAUAAGUAUAAUUAUAAAACCAAAAGGAUUUAGGAAAAAAUUGUAAUAUGUAAUGGAGAUUCCACUCAACUGUUUAUCUCAGUGUGGUAUAUUCAAAAUAGAACAUAGUUUCCCCCAAAAAUGGCAUUAUAAAAAGGCUUUAUUGUAGCAAUGAAAUUAUUGUAUGAUGUACAGUUAAUUGUUAUAGAUUUUUAUUAAGAAACUUUUAUAUAUAGUCUCUUUCUAGUGGCACAGAUUUCAAGCCAAACCACUAUAUGGGCUGAAAAUUGAAAUAGUCCAAUCUUUGGAUGGAUUAAAGAUUUCUCAUUAGCUGUAUGCCUUUAGCAUUUCAAUGUUAUUUGUUUCACACAGUAGCAAUAUCAAUAAUGUCUAAGAUUCACUCAUAAUUGACUGAUUAAUUGCACAGUCUGUUGCCAUCAGAGUUCGUUUAAUGCUGCAUUAUCUUUAAAAGCUCUCUUACAACAAUAGUAAAUAUUUGCAAAUCACUUUUUCCUUUUUUAAUAUUAUUCUGCAUUUUUCCCAGUAUUUCUGUUACUGAUUGAAAUUCUUGUAAAUGGGUUGUAAUAUAUGUUAUAUAUAUUUUAUUUGUUAAGUGCAAGGUUUAUUGACCUAUCUUGCAUUUCUCUGUCUAAACAAAAACUUUUGUAGUAAAACAUUUUUCUCUGGACUGGAAGAAAAGAAUUACAGCAAUGUAUGAAUUUAUUUAGCCCUUCUUCGUUCAACAAGUUUGCCACAUCGUACAUACAAGAUAAUUUUGUUAUAGAAUCUGGAAAAUCUUCUCUUUCAUUAGGGUCAGUUAUACAUUAGGUUGGGACAUUUAUAAAAUAUACACUGCAAUGAUUUUGUAUCUACCUAUAUAAAAUGUGGAUAUAAUAGACUUCCUUCAGUAUAUUGCAGUGAACAUUAUCACAUGUGAAAUGACUUGAGCCUCCAAAAUCCUGAUGUAAAGAGCCGAGGCAUCUCAUUUCUUACUUCAGUUCAAGCAUUCUGAGUUGCAUUGUUUUUUCAGAUUACAUUGUAAAAGAUACAAUUCACUUAUGCUUUCUCUGCCGUAUUUCUUAUCUGUGUGCAUGAAUUGAGGUGCACUUCAAAAUACUUGAUACAGUUUUAUGUCAUAUCUAAAUCUGCAGCCUUAUACUCUAUACAAGGAGAUAGCUGGAGAAUUGUCCAUAUUAUUCAGCUUUUCAUUAGACCAAGGGCAAGCCAAUGAUAUACAUGCAUAUAUAUAAAUUUCAAUGAUUAAACAUAUAUAUAGAUAGAUAUAUAUAAUUUGUGUAUGUGUGCAUGUGUGAAAUUCUCCAACAUAUCCAAAAAUACAUAACAUUGUGUUUAUACCAUUGAACUGCAACUGCCUUAUAAGAUAUUGAUAUGGUAUCCAGGAUCUAAGGAAAGGGAAUGCAAAAUGAUAGUAAUACUGAAGAUGAAGCUUUUAACUUCUGCAAUUAUAUGAAAAGCUUUAAAUUUGACCCAGCUUUACAACAGCAAGUCUGUACAGAAUGGCUAGUUUUUUUUUUACCAUACGUGAUUACUAUUGAGCUUUCCAUACUCUACAGAGGGAAAAAUUGAUAAUGUUUGAACAUACAAGAUUGCUAUGCCCUGAAGUUCUUCAAUGUU